UACGGAGGGUGCAAACGUUGCUCGGAAUCAUUGGGCGUAAAGCGCACGUAGGCGGCUUGUUAAGUCGGAUGUGAAAGCCCUCGGCUCAACCGAGGAAGUGCAUACGAAACUGGCGAGCUUGAAUAUGGAAGAGGGUCGCGGAAUUCCCGGUGUAGAGGUGAAAUUCGUAGAUAUCGGGAGGAACACCAGUGGCGAAGGCGGCUCACUGGCCCGAUACUGACGCUGAGGCACGAAAGCGUGGGGAGCAAACAGG
rnacentral:rRNA from 1 species